AGCGCCAGGGAAUUACGAGCAACGCUUAAAACCCAAAGGAUUUGACGGUAUCCCAUCCACCUAGAGGAGCCUGUUCUAUAAUCGAUAACCCCCGCUACACCUAACCACUCCUAGCUUAUCAGCCUGUAUACCUCCGUCGGAAGCUUACCAUGUGAACGUUUACAGUAUGCUUAAUGAACACCACCAAAACGUCAGGUCAAGGUGCAGCUUAUGGACUGGGAAGCAAUGGGCUACAGUUUCUAACCUAGAACACACGAAAAACUAUGUGAAAUCAUGGUCACGAAGGCGGAUUUAGCAGUAAAAAGAAAAUAGAGUGUUCUUUUUAACCCGGCCCUGGGAUGUGUACACACCGCCCGUCACCCUCUUCAAUUGUACUUAUUCUGUUUCUUAACUCACCCCUACACCUAUAGAAGAGGCAAGUCGUAACAUGGUAAGUGUACUGGAAAGUGCACUUGGCAAACAA
rnacentral:rRNA from 1 species